AUGUUGGAUCCAUUCCUUUUGAAUUGUCACUAUGUCCAUCAUGAUUCUUGGGAAGAGAUAUUGGCAAUAAUUCACAUUGGACAAUUUAUUUGUGAAAAUGUAUGUCUAUUUAAAUCUCACAUAAAAAAAUACGGUCAAAUUUUCAUUGUAAAUGUGAAUUCCUUUGUUAUAAGAGCAGCUAAACCUUAUUUGGCCACUACAGGAGCAACUGUUACUGGUCAUUAUGGAGAAAUCCUUUACAAGGGAGAUAGGUUAGUUACGUUUAUAUAUGGAAAAUAGAGAUCUAGUGACAUAACACAAGGUCUUCAAAAAGUGGAACAAAUCUUUGAAGUGUGUUCAAUUGAUUCAUUAUCCCUGAAUCUCGAAAGGAGAAUUGAGGAUUGGAAUGAGCGUAUACCAAGAAUUCUUGGGAUGCCUUGGGGAUUCUUGAUUGGAGCUAAGCUAACCAUAGCCCAAAGUCGUAUCUCUUUGGUUAAUGAAAUCCAAAAGGUUUAUUGA
rnacentral:rRNA from 1 species